CCAAAGCUGAAUUUUGUUUUGUUACUAUAAUGACUACAAUGUUGAGGUAAAUGCCUGACUUUUCCGUUUUUGAAACUUGCCAGUAGUUUGCACCUUGUGGUCAAUCCCCUGUGCAUCUGCAAUAUGUUUUGAUCCACAAGGGAACGAGCAAACCUACUCCUGGAGAAGCUUCUUGACCUGCUGUGCUGUUAUAAAAGGGUUUUUUGUUUUUGUGCCUCUCAGUCUGCCAGUUUCUUUCUCACUUCCUACUUUUCUUUAGUACUUACUACAUUUUAAGCACUCUUUGGUGCAUGAAAUAAUGUUGAAACAAUACACAGCUGGAUAAAACAGCUGUUUGUAGUCAAGUACUUCAUGGUUAAAUCCUUGUGAUGCAAAACUUGUUUUAAGGCUACAGCUCACACAUAAUUUGUCAUGGUCCCUGUGCCUCCCCGGACAGCCCAGUGUGGCCACAAGUGUUUGUUGUUUUACUCUCUCUCUGCUCCCCUCACCUUGCUCUCUCUCUCUCUCCUACCUGUCUGCCUGGGCGGAGCUCUGAUUGGGCUCCCGCCCUUGGCCCACGCACCUGCAGCUGAUCUCCGGUGAUUUGCAGCUCUUCUUAAGACAGGGGCUCUGAGCUACUCGUCGCUGGAAUAUUGAGUAACUCUCGUUUACCUGGAUCAGCCCUUUUGUGACCCCUGGACCCCGUGAGUGUGAGUGGGCAGCUUGUGUGGAGAUUGUUUGGACAAGCAGCGGAGCAAGUGCGAAGAAGUGUGUUUCCCCAGCCUAUUGAUCCCCGGAACCCUGGAGUCCCCCCCUUCACGUGUACAUUUCGCACCAGUGUGAUUAAUAAAGUAUUGUUGAACUGUG